UACGUAGGGUGCAAGCGUUGUCCGGAAUUAUUGGGCGUAAAGAGCGUGUAGGCGGCCCGAUUAGUCCGCUGUGAAAGUCCAGGGCUCAACCCUGGAAUGCCGGUGGAUACUGUCGGGCUAGAGUCCGGAAGGGGCGAGUGGAAUUCCCGGUGUAGCGGUGAAAUGCGCAGAUAUCAGGAGGAACACCAAUGGCGAAGGCAGCUCGCUGGGACGUGACUAACGCUGAGACGCGAAAGCGUGGGGAGCAAACAGG
rnacentral:rRNA from 1 species